GAUGAACGCUGGCGGCGUGCCUAAUACAUGCAAGUCGAGCGAAUGGAUUGAGAGCUUGCUCUUAUGAAGUUAGCGGCGGACGGGUGAGUAACACGUGGGUAACCUGCCCAUAAGACUGGGAUAACUCCGGGAAACCGGGGCUAAUACCGGAUAACAUUUUGAACCGCAUGGUUCGAAAUUGAAAGGCGGCUUCGGCUGUCACUUAUGGAUGGACCCGCGUCGCAUUAGCCAGUUGGUGAGGUAACGGCGCACCAAGGCAACGAUGCGUAGCCGGCGUGAGGGGGUGAUCGGCCACACUGGGACUGGGACACGGCCCAGACUCCUACGGGAGGCAGCAGUAGGGAAUCUUCCGCAAUGGACGAAAGUCUGACGGAGCAACGCCGCGUGAGUGAUGAAGGCUUUCGGGUCGUAAAACUCUGUUGUUAGGGAAGAACAAGUGCUAGUUGAAUAAGCUGACACCUUGACGGUACCUAACCAGAAAGCCACGGCUAACUACGUGCCAGCCGCCGCCGUAA
rnacentral:rRNA from 1 species